AUAGAGAUCGUCGCCUCGGUGGAAGAAAUUCUACCUGGGGCACAACUCUCCACCCCUUGAUUUGUUAUACCUAGUUGCUUUGGUGGGUCGUGGUCCUCUGCGACCCCGUCGGCUCCGGCUGGCGAGCACCCACCGAAGAUAAAACCUAAAACUCUUGAAGUAAAUCUUGAAGUCUGAAAUAAAAACAAAUAGCCUA
rnacentral:misc_RNA from 1 species